GACGAACGCUGGCGGCGUGCCUAAUACAUGCAAGUCGAACGAGUGGCGAACGGGUGAGUAACACGUGGGUGAACUGCCCUGCACUUCGGGAUAUGCCUGGGAAAAUGGGUCUAAUACAGGGUAGUGUGGGAUGGGCCCGCGGCCUAUCUGCUUGUUGGUGGGGUAAUGGCUACCAAGGCGCGACGAGUAGCCGGCCUGAGAGGGUGGUCGGCCACAUUGGGACUGAGACACGGCCCAGACUCCUACGGGAGGCAGCAGUGGGGAAUAUUGCACAAUGGGCGGAAGCCUGAUGCAGCGACGCCGCGUGGGGGAUGAAGGCCUUAGGGUUGUAAAGUACUUUCAUCGGGGAGGCGUUACCUGCAGAGAAAGCACCGGCUAACUACGUGCCAGCAGCCGCGGUAAUUC
rnacentral:rRNA from 1 species